rnacentral:tRNA from 1 species
UCCAUGGUGGUCCAGUGGCUAAGACUCUGUGCUCCCAAUGCAUGGGGUCUGGGUUCAAUCCCUGGUCAGGGAA